ACCUACGGGAGGCAGCAGUAGGGAAUCUUCCACAAUGGGCGAAAGCCUGAUGGAGCAACGCCGCGUGGGUGAAGAAGGUCUUCGGAUCGUAAAACCCUGUUGUUAGAGAAGAAAGCGCGUGAGAGUAACUGUUCACGUUUCGACGGUAUCUAACCAGAAAGCCACGGCUAACUACGUGCCAGCAGCCGCGGUAAUACGUAGGUGGCAAGCGUUAUCCGGAUUUAUUGGGCGUAAAGAGAACGCAGGCGGUCUUUUAAGUCUGAUGUGAAAGCCUUCGGCUUAACCGGAGUAGUGCAUUGGAAACU
rnacentral:rRNA from 1 species